GAUUUCAUUUCAAAUGUCAUUUUAGCCAAAAAGAAGAACACGUGAUGUUCAAUAUAUGAAAACAAUAACAACAUAUGUUGUUUUAAAGAAGUUCUAAAUCUAAUAACACAUUCUUCAACUGUUCACUUUAAGAUUAAGAAAACCUUUAUUUGUUCCACAAUGGGAACUUUGUAAUCUACCAGCCAUCCACCUGUCAGCGUCCACAAACUCCACCCAAUAUGAUCGAUCUGAUGAUCAAUGAGCAGCUGAAGCCAGUGGUCACCUGGUGCUACAGGGGCCCGGUAAGCCCGCUGUAAUCCGCCUCCUCCUCCUGGGCUUCAGUAAAAGGAUUAAGAGCAGCACAGAACGCAGGAGACAAACCAGAGACAGCACACACUGAGGAAGAGGAGGAGGAAGAGGAGCAAGAGGAAGGCCGUUCUGGAGGACAGUCCUGAAUUUGAUCUGCAUGGACCAACAGGGAGCAGAGAGGGACCGUCAGGACCAGACUGUGGACCUGCUGCUCAGAUAAUCCAGCCUCACAUCCCUGGUGUUAGCACGGAGCACUUAGCCUGCUAAAAUUAGCCCGCUUCUACCAAGCCUGAGUGUAGGUUAACCUGGUGAGCCUGGUUAUUAUUAGCUAGCAUUAAUACAGCCGAGCAUGGCUGCAGCUUCACCUGAUUAACUGCCUCGCUCCAACCUCGCUCCACCCGGCUUCACCCUAACCACCAACCUGUACCACAGCAUGGCUGCCGGCUGACAGGCUGCUCCCACUGUGUUUGUUACUGAUUAGCUGCAGCUGUGCCACAAACAUGAUGGACCCUGACCGAGAGGAAGAUGAAGUGCUGACAGACACCGAAGACCCCGUCCCUCUGAGAACAGACGAGGAAGAGGAGCAAGAAGAAGAGCAGGAGGAGGGGGAGGAGGAUGACGAGGAGGAAGAUGCUAGGAUCUUCAAUGCUUGGAUGCAGCAGUACAGAAGUGGGGAGCAGCAGAAGAAAGAUGGAGAACAGGGAGAGGAGGCACAGGAGCCAGAGGCAGAAAGACCAGCAAGCAGGAUCAGCUUAGAGCCACCGACCCACAUGAGAGCUCGCCGCCGGGCAUCACUGCCGAGUCCGGCUGCUCUCUCAGCCAUGCAGCUGUCUCGGCUCCACUCCUCCACCCAGGCUCCGGUCACUGCCAGGGUUUUGUUGCGACGCUCCUCCUCCCGCCGCCUCCUUCCCUCGCCGCAGGAGGCCACCGCCCCCACCCUCGAGCGAAGACCCUCCCUCAUACCCACAAUCCCCGAGGCGGCGCCCCCUGAGAGACGGGCCCAGUUCAGGAGACGCAACGUCAUGUCGCUGAGCGACGCAUACAGCACGUGUCUGAUCUGCCACAACGACCUGAACCAAGGGAGCGGCGGCACCAGAGAGCUGCAGUGCACACACACCUUCCACAAAGAGUGCAUAGAGGAGUGGUUGUGGAGGAAACAGUCCUGUCCGACCUGUCACGUCCACGUGUCCAUCCCACAGCCCGUCUACUGGAGCUCCACCCACGUCAAGGUGCCCUGACGGAGGAGGAAAUAACCACAGCGACC
ensembl:lncRNA